CUUCAAAACUGUCACUCCCCCGUCUAAUUUUAAGUGCAACCAUGAGUUUCUGUGUACAACUUUGAUUAUCCGUCUUAUUUGAAUUUUUCUUAUGAUUAGUAUUUUUAUUGUUAUAAGAUGAUAAAACAUAAAUAAUAAUUUAUGCGUGACUUAUGUUCUCAAAUUUUUUUAAAUAAGACGGAUGGUUAAAAUUGGGCACGGAAAAUUAUGGCUGCAUUUAUAAUAGGACGGAGGACUACAACUGAAGAAU
rnacentral:misc_RNA from 1 species